UGUCAGCAGGCCUCAGGCAGAAGCAGACAAGAAGGGUAAGAAGUAAAGGAGAGGGAGGAAAGGAGUUGAAAGAAUAAGAGAAUGAGGUGAAAGCUGAAGUCCCCACAGAGAGGAGAUCUCUGAAGAAAUUGCUGAUGAAAGUCCAACAGGCUCUUCCAGUUUGUCUGGUCGGUCACAUUUGCUGAAACCUGGAGGAAUUGUUAGUGGAAGCUCAACAGGCCUGACUCAGUCUGACUGUCCAUUCUUCUGGAAGCUGCAGAGAAAAGAAACCUGGAAACCUUAUAUGCUGACAAAAAGGGACACAAUUGGAUAUGAUGGUUAUUUUACCAAGGUUUUGAAAUGUCGUGCUUUCAAAUAUAAACAGACUGCUUUAAGGAAUCGAAGUUGACUUAUAGAGCCAAUAAAAGCCCUGCAGGAAAGCUGGCCUCAUACUUUGUCUACACAGUCUCUGUACAGGUUUCCUGACCUGUGAGACAACAUCACUAUUGCAAAACCUAAGAUCAGUGCUGGAGAUAUUUUGCAGACCCU
rnacentral:lncRNA from 1 species